rnacentral:rRNA from 1 species
CAGCACCUCAAGUGGUCAGGAUGAUUAUUGGGCCUAAAGCAUCCGUAGCCGGCGCUGUAAGUUUUCGGUUAAAUCUGUACGCUCAACGUACAGGCUGCCGGGAAUACUGCAGCGCUAGGGAGUGGGAGAGGUAGGCGGUACUCGGUAGGAAGGGGUAAAAUCCUUUGAUCUAUUGAUGACCACCUGUGGCGAAGGCGGUCUACCAGAACACGUCCGACGGUGAGGGAUGAAAGCUGGGGGAGCAAACCGGAUUAGAGACCCGAGUAGUCC